ensembl:lncRNA
AUGUCAAAAAAUAAAAACCAGUUUGUCGUGCCCCUUUCAUGGAACACAAAGACGAGUUACAUAAUUGUGUACAGCGGGGGGGGUCAGAAUACAAAUAGACCUUUGUUGUCAAAACCAUCAAUAUUAACCCGUCUUUCACUUUAUUUUCUUUUACCAGAAAAAUCCACCUACGUUGCUUCCGGCUCAAUUGACCCUGCAGUCACAGCUGCCCCUGCUCAUCCACUGGCUGACCUGUCCGUGGCGGAGGAGGUGCCUUUCUCAGCCGUCCAUUCGGAUGGCGACUCAGAGUCUGAGGGGGAAGGUUUGUCGGGGCAGCCCGCCUUUUCCUCCGUCUUAACCGCCAUGGCGGGAACUCUCAAACAUCCGCUGAGCCUUGAUGAAAGUAGAACUUCGCCAACCAUCACCAGGGAUGAGACCCACACCACCCAAUGGCCUUCACGGACCUCCAGCCGCGGCUCAGAGACGUCCUCCUCAUCUGUCUCUGCGGGAGGCAGGAUCACCCUCGCCAGCUCAGAGGCGGGGACGGAUGAGUUAACCGCUGGAACAUCAGGAGCGGUUACGCGCACUUUCCCCAAAGAAAAAGCAAGCGGUUUAGCGCCCUCUCAAUCAGCCAGAAUCCCCCUCUCUGCUGGGCCCACCGAGAGAACAUCUCAGGUAUCACCUCUGCACCCUCGACAGGACCCCCUGACCCACUCUGUGCAGCCCACCGCCACAUCGAAUCACCUCAGCACUACUACGCCUUCCCCGAGCGUCACCGGCACCGGAACCACGACGUCGACCACCACCACCACCACCACCACCACCACCACCACCAAAACGCAGCCUCCGCCUGUGACCAGGAGAACCACCACCACCACCACCACCACCACCAGGACUCUAACCAGCAGGAGAAUAUUCACACCGCCUUUCCCCAGGGAGACCACCGGCAUCUUUGUAUCCCCUUUUACCACCACCACGGAGGCACCGCCGCAGCAGUGUAACAUCACGGAGAGACUGUGGGUGAAAACAGGUAAACAAUACUUCUCAUCAUACGUCUCAUUAUUUGAAUGUAUUACUACUCAAACAUGUUUUGUCUGCCGUAUGUUUUGGUUUGUCACCUCUUUUUUCUUUGUCUCUAUGUCCCUCCUAGUUGUUUCUAUUUAUGUGAGAAGAAACAGGCUGGAUAGUAUUCAGAGGCAGAACCUGCGAAGGGGACUAAGUCAGGGCCUCCGGAAAGCUCUGAAUGAUACUUCUGCUCAAGCACAGGUCAGACUGGUACUAUUACUUCUACUACUACUACUACUACUACUAGUAUUGCUACUGUUACUGCUAUCAGUAAAUCUAUACUUUCAAACUGUGGCGUCUCAACUAACCGGUGGUUAUAUACAUGUUGAUAUUCCUCGCCAAAGCACAUCGUGUGUGUACUUGUGGCCCGUGAAUGUGUAA